rnacentral:rRNA from 1 species
AUGUCAAUCCUGGCUAUGGGUAACGUCAAAAAAUUUCGGGACGGUCUGCCCAUAGGAUUGCAACAACAUCAGACACUUCAUGUCCAUCAAAGGCAAGAUGAAUUCACCUGUGUACGCUCUGUCUUAAAUGCUAUCAUUGAUGAUUUGAGUGGUCCGUCUAAGAAGCAGAUUGAAUCUGUGUCGCUGACGUUACUUAUGAAUGCUUUGGCAAAAUGUUGGUCUGGACACAAAGACUUACUGAUGGUCGGGCGAAAUUAUGCUGCCAAAGUUUUUGAGCUGAUUCUAAAGCUCCUACAUGAUUGUUACACUGUUUGUGGUGUAAACACGGCUGAGUCUUGCCACUGUCUGCCACAUAUUCUGUAUAGCAUUGAAGUGAAAUCAUAUAUGCUCACCUUCUUAUUUCCCGUCCUUAGUUUAGGAAAGUGGAAAGUUUUUUCCUUUUAUUUUAGGAAUUUUGGGAACAGAACAUUUCAACAAAGGAAGUCUUUCACCGGUCAAACAAGACGUAAGACUUAA